CAGGCAGUCCGACAUCUCGACCCCCCCCCCCAACAACCGGAGAGAAACGGCCGAGUGCAGGAGGGUAAUCGAGACGGUCGAAUGGGUCGAGAGGCUUCAUGAACACCCAGUGGAGGCCUCAAAACCUGAAUAAGAGCCUAUCUGGCCCGCGUUAGCACCGAACGGGCCACGCCUGCAGGUUGGAAGCCCGAGUUAAUUCGGGCGGUGGCUGCGACUCACGCUGAGGUCCCCCGGGAUAGUAGAAGAACAGCACUUGAAGGUGGAAAACUCAAAACAAACAUCUGAUCAAAACCUGACAGAGUCACUCGAUUCAUAAGAGCCUGAAAGUAUGUUGUUUCUGUGGAAUAAUAUUCAAACAUCUGUGUGACUGGAAAUAGGGGAGAGCAAAGCCACGGAGGGAUUUGAAAAUAAGGGGUGUUAGAAGGGGAGGAUUUGCAGUCAGGAAACUGAGACCAAACAUCACAUCAGGAUCUGACGGAGUCGCCCAGUUUAUUGUAAUCUGAAUAGCAUUGGACUUUGAACAUGGAAGGACAAAGCACCAUUCACAGUGGGGAGAAACCGUACACGUGUUCUGUGUGUGGACGAAGCUUCAGCCGAUCAUCUGGCCUGUCCAGACACAAGCGUAGUCACAGCGGGGAGAAACCGUGGAAGCAGGGAGAACCGCGGGGAUUGUGGGAAAGGAUUCCAUUCCCCAUCUUAUCUGGAAAUUCAACGACGCAGUCACACUGGGGAGAGGCCAUUCACCUGCUCCCAGUGUGGGAAGGGAUUCACUCAGUUAUCCAACAAGCUGAAACACCAGAGGGGUCACACUGAUGAGAAACCUUUUCAAUGCCCAGACUGUGAGAAGUGCUAUAAAAGUUCCAGUGAACUCAUGUACCAUCAACGUGUUCACACUGACUAGAGACCAUUCAGGUGCUCUCAGUGCGGGACUGGGUUCAAGCAUUCACCUGCCCUCAUUAAACACCAACGCACUCACAAUGGGGAGAGACCGUUUACCUGCUCCAAGUGUGGGAAGAGAUUCACUCAGUCAUCUAGCCUGCUGAGACACCAGCGAGUUCACAGUGAUGAAAGACCUUUUAAAUGUCCAGACUGUGGGAAGUGCUGUAAAAGUUCUGGGAACCUAAUGUCCCAUCAACGUGUUCACACUGACGAGAGACCGCUCAGGUGCUCUCAGUGCGGGACUGGGUUCAAGCAUUCACCUGACCUCACUAAACACCAGCACACUCACAGUGGAGAGAGAACAACUUCGAGUGUAGAAAGAGAUUCACUCAGUCAUCUGAUCUGCUGAAACACCAGCGAGUUCACAAUGAUGAGGGACAUUUUAAAUGCCCAGAUUGCAGGAAGUUCUUUAAGGUUCCCUGGAACUGACAUACAAUCACCGUGUUCACACUGAUGAGAGACCAUUCAGAUGCUCUCAUUGUGGGACUGGAUUCAGGCGAUCAUCACAACUCACUGUACACCAGCAAAUUCAGACUGGGGAGAGACUAUUCAUCUGACCUAAGUAUAGGAAGGGAUUCACUCAAAAUUCCCACAUGCUGACACAACAGUGAGCUCACAAGUAACCACACUGAUUGGAUUUUGCUGUUAAUCACAUCCAGGAUUGAACCAUAUUUAUUGGGGUCUGUUUCUACUGAUGUUAAUAAACUCCAGCCCAGUUAUAGGGGUUAAUAUUGUGGAUUAAAGUGAAAUAAAUUUGCUUUGUGUUAAA